rnacentral:rRNA from 1 species
UACGGGGGGGGGCAAGCGUUGUUCGGAAUUACUGGGCGUAAAGGGCCAGUAGGCGGCCAACUAAGUCGGACGUGAAAUCCCCAGGCUCAACCUGGGAACUGCGUCCGAUACUGGAUGGCUUGAAUUCGGGAGAGGGAUGCAGAAUUCCAGGUGUAGCGGUGAAAUGCGUAGAUAUCUGGAGGAACACCGGUGGCGAAGGCGGCAUCCUGGACCGGCAUUGACGCUGAGGAGCGAAAGCCAGGGGAGCAAACGGG